UUGGAAACAGACAUGUCAUGGCUGAGUUAUUUUUUGUGCAAACAAGGACCUCAGAUUCCUGACAACACUGUUGGCUUCCCGGAGACUCCUUCAUCCUGCAGAAGAUGCAAUUCCACGGGGUCCUGAGAGAUUGGACAUGGGUGGGAUGUGGCAGUCCUCAUGGAAGACUCUUGAACAAGUGUCGCAACAGAACAGCUCCCCUCCGUCCCGGCACACCUCACACUCAUCCAAGUUUCUCAUCUAGAAGACAUCUGGCUGUGGGCUGUGAGACAUAAACCUCCAUGUCAAGCUCAUACAAAAUCAGCCACGCAAACACUGACCUCCAGGGCUGUUUUAACCAUUCGUGAGUCCCUGAGUUGGCCGGGCAUCAAAAUCAGUGUGGAAAAGACCUAAAUCUGAUUGGAGGACUGCUUUGGAGGUAAGGUUCUCAUUCACACCCAGUCUUCGAAAAACCAUCACCUUGUCCUGAAUCUACACUGCACUUAACCUAUUUGUUUGUUGCGUUCUUAAGUGAAGGAAAAAUCACUUUCACAGAUAAAAAGCAGGUCUGCACAGUCCCUCUGGUAGAACCAAAGAGGUGGCAUCAACAUAAAAGAUUUUCCUGGUCAGCUCCUCCUGUAAAAUACGUUUGCCUCUGGAGAUCUUCCUCCCCAAUGGCACCAUCUUGACAAAGGUCACUGGAAGUAAAGGAGCCUGAAAAUCCACAGUUUCAUCUUUGUGCUUUCUUGAAGCUGAAAGAGAGGAUUUCUUCAUUCUGUCUCACUUUGCAAAGGCACAUCCCCCCUUCCCACUGAGUGGACUUGAUGAAAGCAUCUCACGGAAGAAAGAGCUAGUGAUUGUGCAUCAACCACUUGCAAUGUCAUUUCACGGCUGCACCUGUCAGGUCCAGCCAUUUUAAUUAGCCAAUGAUUUAAGGCAAAGGAAUUCCCAGGAAAAUCAGAUAAAACACAGAGGAAAACAACUUUAGAACUUGGACAGAUAAGAUCUAUGAUAUGAAUACAAUCAACUUACAACUCUGGCUUCUAAUGGGUUUGCUGUUUUUUAGAUUUCACUGCUCUGAAAUUGACUAAGUUUGACUAGUAAACAAUAAAGCUUCUAGGCUCCUCA
rnacentral:lncRNA from 10 species